rnacentral:rRNA from 1 species
GACGAACGCUGGCGGCGUGCCUAAUACAUGCAAGUCGAACGACAGCACCCGGUGCUUGCGCUGGUCAAUCUAGUGGCGAACGGGUGAGUAACACGUGGGUCACCUGCUCCUCAGAGGGGGAUAACAUCGGGAAACGGCUGCUAAUACCGCAUCGUUCUUCGUACCGCAUGGUUUAAGGAGGCUUCGAGCCUUAAGCUUCUGCUUGUGCCUGUACCCGCGGUGCAUUAGCUAGUUGGUGAGGUAACGGCUCACCAAGGCCGUGAUGCGUAGCCGACCUGAGAGGGUGAUCGGCCACAUUGGAACUGAGACACGGUCCAAACUCCUACGGGAGGCAGCAGUAGGGAAUCUUGGGCAAUGGACGCAAGCCUGACGGAGCAACGCCGCGUGAGUGAAGAAGGUUUUCGGAUCGUAAAACUCUGUUGUUAGGGAAGAACAAGUGCUAGAGUAACUGUUGGCGUCUUGACGGUAUCUAACCAGAAAGCAACGGCUAACUACGUG